GGGAGAACACCCCAAGGGAAAAGAGUGUCAUGGAGCUGGGAUAUCCCUAGGGACUCCCUGUUUGCUUGUAUGACACCACCCCACCCACUCGAGGUGACUUCGAGAUUCUGGGAAAGACAAGAGAGAUAGAGGAAGAAAAAGGAUCUGGAGUUUUAAGUUCUGGGAACUCUAUGAGGACUUGUUGGUAUAAGUUGUUUGGAAAUGAAGGCGCGCACACAUACAAAAUGAACCUGGAGAGAUAGGAAGAAAUGCUCCAACAGGAAGACCCUAAAGCACCCCUAUUCCCCACACAGGUACAAAUCCCUUCAGAGAUUUCCUUCCUGAGCCUCCUCCACGAGAUGUUAGGAGCGGCUUAAGGCGGCCGGGGAGAUGGCCGUUGGGAAACAACUGUUGGUAGUUGGCAGUACUUCAUCCCAAAGAGGUUGUGGCAACAACUCCCUCGGGCAGCAGGCAUCAUGGAUUUUCCUGCCUCUGAGACCCAGCGGUUCCUCCGUUUCUGACCCACAGGUUGCAAGAGGGGCCUGGAUCCUGACCGGACCAGGAGGGGCGCGGGGCCGCCCCAGAGUGGGCCAGGCGCGUUGCCAAGGUGCGCGGGGAAGGGCCACCCAGCGCAGGCCGGCUCCGCGGAGACCUCGGUACGCUGCCACGAAGGGCGGGCGACCCGCCUCCCGAAGCCUCCUUCCUUCCUCCCAACUCGGUUCCUUAGCGCCCCGUUUUCCCGGGGAGCCUCGGCAUUCCCCAGCUACCCGAGGCCGCGCUCGCCCUUUUUUCCUCCUCCUGACCCUCCCCCGGCCCGCCCCUCCUUCGGCAGCCCACCUUCGCCCGCUCCUCCGCACGCUCCUCGGUCCUCGCCCCUCAUCCCCGGCCUCCCCUCGCGGGCCCCCGCGCCAGGGGCCCCCUCCCCACCCCCUUCGCGGCGGCCGCGGUCCCUUUCACAAUAGCGCUGCCCGCCUCCCUCCUCUCGGCUCCCGGUUCGCUCCCGCCCGCUGCCCUCCCCGCGCAUGCGCCCUCCGUUCGGCGGCGGCUGCGGCUGCGGCGGCUACCAGCGGCUCCGUUUUUUUAAAGGGAAACGCUGAGGCGCCGGGGGUGACUGUGGGGGAGGGGGACCCGGAGCUGCGGAGACCCCCGGGGGAGGCGGCAGACCCCCUCCCGGAGUAGGAGGGCUUUGGGCGGACCCAUCCCUCCCACCCCCUCCUGAAGAGGAGGGGGGGGAAAAUGGAGGCUCGGGGCGGCUGAGGCGAGCUCUGGG